UACGAGGGGGGCGAGCGUUGUUCGGAAUUAUUGGGCGUAAAGGGUGCGUAGGCGGUUUGAUAAGUCUGAUGUGAAAUCUAUGGGCUCAACCCAUAGCCUGCAUUAGAAACUGUCGGGCUUGAGUAUGGGAGAGGUGAGUGGAAUUUCCGGUGUAGCGGUGAAAUGCGUAGAUAUCAGGAGGAACACCAAUUGCGAAGGCAGCUCGCUGGGACGUUACUGACGCUGAGACGCGAAAGCGUGGGGAGCAAACAGG
rnacentral:rRNA from 1 species